UUGAACGCUGGCGGAAUGCUUUACACAUGCAAGUCGAGCGGCAGCGCGGGGGCAACCCUGGCGGCGAGCGGCGAACGGGUGAGUAAUGUAUCGGAACGUACCCUGUCGUGGGGGAUAACACAGCGAAAGCUGUGCUAAUACCGCAUACGACCUGAGGGUGAAAGCGGGGGAUCGCAAGACCUCGCGCGAUAGGAGCGGCCGAUAUCGGAUUAGCUUGUUGGUGGGGUAAAGGCUCACCAAGGCGACGAUCCGUAGCUGGUCUGAGAGGACGACCAGCCACACUGGGACUGAGACACGGCCCAGACUCCUACGGGAGGCAGCAGUGGGGAAUUUUGGACAAUGGGCGCAAGCCUGAUCCAGCCAUGCCGCGUGAGUGAAGAAGGCCUUCGGGUUGUAAAGCUCUUUCAGACGGAAAGAAAUCGUGCAGAUUAAUACUCUGUAUGGAUGACGGUACCGUAAGAAGAAGCACCGGCUAACUACGU
rnacentral:rRNA from 1 species